rnacentral:rRNA from 1 species
UAAUACGAACCGUCCAAACGUUAUUCGGAAUUAUUGGGCUUAAAGGGUAUGUAGGCGGCGCUGUUAGUCGGGUGUGAAAUCCCUCGGCUCAACCGAGGAAUUGCGCCCGAUACUGCAGUGCUUGAGGGAGACAGAGGUAAGCGGAACUGAUGGUGGAGCGGUGAAAUGCGUUGAUAUCAUCAGGAACACCGGUGGCGAAAGCGGCUUACUGGGUCUCUUCUGACGCUGAGAUACGAAAGCUAGGGGAGCGAAGGGGAUUAGAUACCCCCGUAGUCCUAGCUGUAAACGAUGAGCACUUGAUUGAGGAUCCCCCCAUAGAUUCUCGGUCGUAGCGAAAGUGUUAAGUGCUCCGCCUGGGGAGUAUGGUCGCAAGGCUGAAACUUAAAGGAAUUGACGG